rnacentral:rRNA from 1 species
UACGGGGGGAGCAAGCGUUGUUCGGAUUUACUGGGCGUAAAGGGCGCGUAGGCGGCCACCGCAAGUCGACUGUGAAAUCUCCGGGCUUAACCCGGAAAGGUCAGCCGAUACUGCGGGGCUAGAGUGCCGAAGGGGCAACUGGAAUUCUCGGUGUAGCGGUGAAAUGCGUAGAUAUCGAGAGGAACACCUGCGGCGAAGGCGGGUUGCUGGGCUGACACUGACGCUGAUGUGCGAAAGCUAGGGGAGCGAACGGG